rnacentral:rRNA from 1 species
AUGGUGGACUGGGUUAGCGAUAGCAAUGACAGUGAUAUGUUCGAUUGGGAAAGUGAUGGACUGGCUGAGCCCUUGUUGGCUUUGGCCUUGAAUAACCUUGAUGCUUCUGGCCCAUCCAUGCUGGAUGUUACUGGCUGGGCCAAGGGGAAAGCACCAUCAGCUUCUUUAGUUGAGGAAUUUGUCAGAAUGGGUUAUCCAAAGGAGAUUGUUUUGAUGGCCGUCGAGGCGUGCGGGUACAAUGAUGCAAAUGACAUACUCGAGCUACUUCUCACAUUUAAGGCACUAGUUAACUACCCAUCCAUGGAAAACAGCUUUACUUCUGGCUGCACCCCUCACGAUGUUGAGGAUGACGAGGACAACGAUCUUGAUUUUGCAAAAUGGGAUGAUGGCGGCGAUGAUGCUGGUGAGAGGGCAGCCAAUUCUAAUGAUUCUAGUGAUGAGGCUGAGUCCUUGUCGGCUUCCGCCUUGAGUAACCUUGAUGCUCUUGGCCCAUCCACGCUGGACGUUAAUGGUUGGGCCAAGGAGAAAGCACCAUCAUCUUCUUCACUCGAGGAAUAUGUAGGAAUGGGUUAUCCAAAGGAGAUGCUUUUGAAGGCUGUCAAGGCAAUUGGGUACAGUCAUGCAAAUGAAUUUCUCGACCUACUUCUUACAUUUGAGACGCUAGGUAAUUACCCUUCCAUGGGUAACUGCUUUACCCCUGGCUGCACCCCUCAUGAUGCUGCGGAUGACGAUGACAGUGAUAUUGAUUUUGAAAACUUGAAUGAUGAUGAUGAUGCUAAUGAUUCCACAAACUGGAAUGGUGAUGAUGAUGAUGAUAUUGAUUUCAAAAACUGGGAUGAUGAUGACGAUGGUGCUGGUGAGACGGAAGCCAAUUCUAAUGGUUCUGGUGACGAGGAUUUCGCACAAGCGAUGUUAGAAAAGGACGAGAAUAUCAAGGAUUUCGCACAAGCAAUGUUAGAAAAGGAUGCGGGAUUUCCUGAAGUUAGGGCCAAUAUGGCUUUUAGCAGAGGUGCGGACGAUGCUCUUUUUGCAUUACUUGAUUCCAAGAACUUUUCUACCCGUGAGGUUACGAACAAGAUCUUCAAUUCCUUAAAAAGGAGAAAGGAAGGAAGAUUCAUGGAAGAGAGCAAGAAAAAAAGGAUGCGAUGUGGAGGUGAAGCGCAAGGAAAUUGGCUCCCCUUGAAUGGUAGCGAUGAUGAACCAAUUGUUCUUCCAAAUCCAAUGGUUGGCUUUAGCCUGCCUAAUAGCAUGGUACAGCCAGUUAAAAGAAGUCUCCCCGAACAAGCUAUUGGUCCACCUUUCUUCUACUAUGAAAAUGUGGCCCAAACCCCCAAACGCACAUGGGAUACUAUUAAAGGAGAAUUGUAUGGUGUAGAGCCAGAGUUUCUGGAUUCCAAGUACAUAUGUGCAACUGCCAGGAAAAGAGGUUACAUCCAUAAUCUCCCGAUUGAGAAUAGGUCAUCUCUCUGCCUGGAGCCUCCAAAGACUAUAUUUGAGGCGUUUCCCCAUUAUAGGAAGUGGUGGCCUUCUUGGGACUCGAGAAAGCAGCUCAACUGCCUGACGACAUGUGUGCCAAGUUCAAGGCUGACAGAACUAAUUGAGUUUGUUCUUUCAGUAGCGGAGAAUCCACCAUCUCUUCGUGUUCAAAAAUAUGUUAUGGCUUUGUGCAGACAAUACAAUCUCGUGUGGGUUGGUAAAAACAGGGUUGCUCAUUUGGAGCCCCAUGAGAUGGAAUACCUACUGGGUUUUCCAAGGAAUCACACGAGGGGAGUCACCAGAACUCAGAGGUACAAAUCUCUUGGCAACUCAUUUCAAGUGGAUACAGUUACUUACCACUUGUCUGUGUUGAGGGACAUGUUUCCUGAUGGUAUAAACGUACUGUCCUUAUUCACCGGUAUUGGAGGAGGAGAGGUAGCGCUACAUAGGCUUGGAAUCCACAUGAGGAUAGUGGUUUCUGUAGAGAUAUCUAAAGUGAAUAAGAGGAUUUUGAGAAGUUGGUGGAAUCAGACUCAGACAGGCGAGUUGAUUCAGAUUCCAGACGUGAGGACUCUAACUGAUGAUAAAAUCAGGUCAUUUAUUGAAAGUAUUGGCGGCUUUGACUUGGUGAUUGGGGGCAGCCCAUGCAACAAUCUCGCUGGCAGAAAUCGGUUCCACCGUGACGGUCUAGAGGGCGAGCACUCUUCUCUAUUCUACCAGUACCCCAGAAUCUUGAACACCGUCAAGUCAGAGAUGGCGAGGAUUAAGCACUUAGCUAUAUCUCAUUGUUGCAAACCAGUCUAG